GGAACCAAAGAGGGGUCACCAGCCUACACACUCUGACAAUCCAUCUGUCCCCAGCAAUCCCAUUGUAAUCUCUUAUCUGUAAUCUCUUAUUGUUCGUCGAGAUGAUGUAGAGUCCUAAACAGUUGAAUGACCACUUAUUAGACAGAACAGAAUGAUUAAUUCAAAAUUUAAGAUUUGUGAGUGGUUGUAUCUACUUGCUGAUUUUGUAAGAACUCUGAAGUGAAAUAGAUGAUACAGCAUUUUGUUGUAAGUGAUCAUUGUGAGGGAGGUUCUUACUGAGAUGUCCAUUCAAGCAGAGGGCUCCAGAGAAGGGCUUGACCUGGAAUGUCCAAUACAGUAGCCACUUGCUGCAUGAAGCUAUUAAAAUUAAAAUUUAAUCAGUUAAUAAUUUAGCUUCUUAAUCACAUUACAUGUAUGGUUACUGGUUACUUUAUUAGGAAGCAUAAAUAUAGAAUAUUUUUAUCAUUAUAGAAAUUUCCACUAGCACUGCUGCUUUAGAAGAUAUAGAUUCUUUGAAGAGUCAGAUUGACAGAACCUUUAACAAACUAGGCAAGCAAGUUACUCUGGAAAAAGCUUGGCUUCUGGGAAGAGGACAUCUGAUUACAGUGGAUCAACUCUUUGGGAGCAUCAUCAUAACCUGAAUACUGAAGAUUGAGCCUACAUGUAAGGAACAAGUUCCGGUCAAAAAAAAAUGCAGUUUACAAAGUUAUAAGAGAUUGGAAAAGGGAUUCAAAAAUCUUAAAAUACUAAAGCUGGUUUGAGGCCAAGAGAAAACCAUGCGGGACCUGAUUGGAUGAUGCAUAAGAUGCAUAAGAAUCUGAAGUCUUACAGCGAAGAAUGACCACAGGUAAGGGUGGGAUCUCUGAUCUCACUUCCAGCUUAUCUUGCCAAGUCAGUGGGGGAUACAGCCUGGUUCCCACCACUGCAACCCAGAGAAGAAUGUUCACAGCACUGAGCUCCUUUGCUUCUCCUCUCAUUCAAACCUGAGGAGCUGUGGUCCAUGUGUAAGGCUGGUGAGGAACUAUGGACAGUACUUUACCUACUGUCCUACAUUUCACAGAUGAGCUGAUGACCACAUUUUAGUCUAAGGGGGCACAACAACUGAAACACCCAGAAAUCUAUUAAACUCAUUUAAGAAUAUUUCCGCCCUCUGUUUUGUUGUGUUUUCUUUGCCUGCUUUGCUUUUUUCUAAACAUGUGUCCCUCUUCUUCCUGUUCCUCCUCAUUUGCAAUAUUGUAAAACAAACAUGGG
rnacentral:lncRNA from 1 species